rnacentral:rRNA from 1 species
UACGAAGGGGGCUAGCGUUGCUCGGAAUUACUGGGCGUAAAGGGAGCGUAGGCGGGCUAUCAAGUUGGGGGUGAAAGCCCGGGGCUCAACCUCGGAAUUGCCUUCAAAACUGAUAACCUGGAGUAUGGAAGAGGUAAGUGGAACUCCGAGUGUAGAGGUGAAAUUCGUAGAUAUUCGGAAGAACACCAGUGGCGAAGGCGACUUACUGGUCCAUUACUGACGCUGAGGCUCGAAAGCGUGGGGAGCAAACAGG